rnacentral:rRNA from 1 species
GUGAGGAAUAUUGGUCAAUGGACGAGAGUCUGAACCAGCCAAGUCGCGUGAAGGAAGACGGUUCUAUGAAUUGUAAACUUCUUUUGUGCAGGAAUAAAGUGGGUUACGUGUAACCUUUUGUAUGUACUGUACGAAUAAGGAUCGGCUAACUCCGUGCCAGCAGCCGCGGUAAUACGGAGGAUCCGAGCGUUAUCCGGAUUUAUUGGGUUUAAAGGGUGCGUAGGUGGAUUGAUAAGUCAGCGGUGAAAGUUUGCAGCUUAACUGUAAAAUUGCCGUUGAAACUGUCGGUCUUGAGUGCAAAUGAGGUAGGCGGAAUGUGUUGUGUAGCGGUGAAAUGCUUAGAUAUAACACAGAACUCCGAUUGCGAAGGCAGCUUACUGGGAUGCAACUGACACUGAUGCACGAAAGCGUGGGGAUCAAACAGGAUUAGAAACCCUGGUAGUCC